rnacentral:rRNA from 1 species
GAGAUGGAUUCUGAGACACGAAUCCAGGCCCUACGGGGUGCAGCAGGCGCGAACACUUUACAAUGCGGGAAACCGCGAUAAGGGAACCCUGGGUGCCAGCACACAGUGUUGGCUGUCCAACUGUUCAAAAAACAGCUGAUAGCAAGGGCCGGGCAAGACCGGUGCCAGCCGCCGCGGUAACACCGGCGGCCCGAGUGGUAACCGAUUUUAUUGGGCUUAAAGCGUUCGUAGCCGGUUUGGAAAGUCUCUUAGGAAAUCUGGCAGCUUAACUGCUAGGCGUCUAAGAGAUACUGUUAAACUUGGGACCGGGAGAGGUAGGAGGUACUCCAUGGGUAGGGGUGAAAUCUUGUAAUCCUUGGAGGACCAUCGAUGGCGAAGGCAUCCUACCAGAACGGGUCCGACGGUGAGGGACGAAAGCUGGGGGCACAAACCGGAUUAGAUACCCGGGUAGUCCCAGCUGUAAACGAUGCUCGCUAGGUGUCGGGUACGGUGCGUCCGUAUUCGGUGCCGUAGGGAAACCGCGAAGCGAGCCGCCUGGGAAGUACGGUCGCAAGGCUGAAACUUAAAGGAAUUGGCGGGGGAGCAC